GCAAACUUGGUCAUUUAGAGGAAGUAAAAGUCGUAACAAGGUCUCCGUAGGUGAACCUGCGGAGGGAUCAUUUGUGAAUGCCUGCAUUCAUUCCUUCAUGGGAUGAAUCAACCUCUAAACCUUGUGGGCAGAUGGCUCGUGGUUUGGCAGCCCUCUUGGCUGCCACCUUUAUGCCGGAAGCUUGGUUGUCUGAAUCUGAAUUUAAAAGUCAAAACUUUCAACACUGGAUCUCUUGGCUCUUGCAUCGAUGAAGAACGCCAGC
rnacentral:misc_RNA from 1 species